CCGGCAUCGUGUCCUAUUGAUGUCCUAUUGAUGAUUCAAACUUCAGCAACAGUGGCUAAGAACUCACUUCAGUAACAAUCUUCCGGUGCUAUUCUACAGCAGCUUUGACCAUCAAACUUACUUUUCGGCUGAGAAUGCACAAGGGAUCGUAUAAAGAAAAUAACUAAUUUACAUGCCAACCAAGUUAUAUUAAACACCUCAAAAUUUUGCCUAGUCCAAGAAAUUCUUGAGGCAGCCGAUAUAACUAGUCUCUGCAAUCUUCCAAUGUCUCUCCAAAUCAGCUUGAUAGUUUAGACUUGGGAAAUAGUAUAGCAUAACCCCAUGACUGCAUCCUAGCCAAGGAACGGCUUUCACCUUUUCAAGACCAACCAUAUACUCUCCUAAAACCAUGAUGUGCAAACUAGAUUUGAGCAAAGAGCAUUUCAUUCCAUGUAUCAGGAACACCAGGCAAACACCAGUGUAAGCAAUCCUGCACACCAGGCUUUGCUGUUAAGCUGUACCGUGAUAUAUGACCCUCAUCCCUCAGCUGAGAAGGACCUGUUAUGUCCAAAAGUUUGACCCUUGUUCCCUUAACCGCACUUGCAGCAACUUGAUCACUGGACUCCUCGUCCAGUAAUUCUUUUCCAACCGACAUUGGUUUAGUGUUGUCACAACUGCCUCCUGUGUUCCAUUCCCCACCAAAAAAAUGUCUAGGAGAAAUGGUACGAUAAAAUGCUUUCAAACCUGGAUAUUUUGGAAGCUGUGAAUCCACCCAACUAACAACGCUACGAAUUGUAAGAUUCUUGGCAGCCCAAAUCACAGCUAUCUUCCUAUCAGUAUUUGGGACACCACCAACAUGCAUUACCCAUCGAUUGGCAUUAAGUUUCCCUCGAUUCCAGUGAUGACCAGUGUUGAGAACCAGGACAUCAAACUUGUGUAUAAAUUGACGCAGGAAUGCUGGGGGCCGAUCAAGGUGCAUUGCAUAAUCUGUAUCUGGGUUGUUUACAUCAAUAGGUUCAACAUCACAUAAGCUUGCCGACCAGUAGUACAAAAUGGUAGUAUUAGUCCUUGAAAAACGAUAUGCCCAUCCAUUAGGACGGGCAGAGCCCUCGGCUACAAUCAAACCAUAUUCCUUACCCACAUCUUCAACAUCAUUUGUCUCCUCACCACCAGUUACCAUGCACAUUAAAGACUGGUACUGCUGCCGACCUAAUGAGUCUCCCACAAAAGCUAGAGUUUUGUUUUGCAUCCUGAAUAUACCAAGAUUAACAAUUAGAAUAGGUUUAUAGUUUUUUUCCAGUUGAACCAAAACAUGUAGGCUAAAAUAAUAAUAAACAGUUGAACCA
rnacentral:lncRNA from 1 species